rnacentral:tRNA from 1 species
GCUGUGGCUUGGUGGAAGAACCUCUGCUUUGCACGCAGAAGGUCACAGGUUCAAUCCUUGACAUCUGCA